rnacentral:rRNA from 1 species
GAUGAACGCUGGCGGCGUGCCUAAUACAUGCAAGUCGAGCGAACAGACGAUGAGCUUGCUCCUCUGACGUUAGCGGCGGACGGGUGAGUAACACGUGGAUAACCUACCUAUAAGUCUUGGAUAACUUCGGGAAACCGGAGCUAAUACCGGAUCAUAUAUUGAACCGCAUGGAUCAAUAGUGAAAGACGGUUUUGCUGUCUCUUUUAGAUGGAUCCGCGCCGCAUUAGCUAGUUGGUAAGGUAACGGCUUACCAAGGCGACGAUGCGUAGCCGACCUGAGAGGGUGAUCAGCCACACUGGAACUGAGACACGGUCCAGACUCCUACGGGAGGCAGCAGUAGGGAAUAUUGGGCAAUGGGCGAAAGCCUGAUCGAGCCAUGCCGCGUGAGUGAAGAAGGUCUUCUGAUCGUAAAGCUCUUUUGUUAGGGAAGAAAAAAUGUGUAAGUAACUCUGGAUGUUUUGACGGUACCUAAUGAGAAAGCAACGGCUAACUACGUG